UCGCCGGCUGGGCCGAGGCGCUGACGGCCUGCAGCGCCAUCGGUACGCGGCCCGGGCCACUCGCCGUCGGUGUCUCGGCGCCGGCGGCC
rnacentral:tRNA from 1 species